UUGCGACAAAGGCAAAACCAGUUAAAGCUGGUGACGCAAUGCCACGGGUCCUCGCUUCCUCCGCGACGCCGUCUGCGACGCCACGAAGGACCCCAAGAUCGCCGGGCUGCCGCG
rnacentral:ncRNA from 1 species